rnacentral:misc_RNA from 1 species
GAUGAAGAACGUAGCGAAAUGCGAUAAGUAAUGUGAAUUGCAGAAUUCAGUGAAUCAUCGCAUCUUUGAACGCACAUUGCGCCCGCCAGUAUUCUGGCGGGCAUGCCUGUUCGAGCGUCAUUACAACCCUCAAGCCCCCCGGCUUGGUGUUGGGGACCGGCCACCGGUGCCCUGCUGCUUCCGCGGCAGGCGCACCCGGCCGCCCCCGAAAUGAAUUGGCGGCCCCGUCGCGGCCUCCCGCUGCGUAGUAGCACACAUCUCGCAGCUGGAGCGCGGCGCGGCCACUGCCGUAAAACGCACCAACUUUUUUUACAGUUGACCUCGAAUCAGGUAGGAAUACCCGCUGAACUUAAGCAUAUCAAUAAGCGGAGGA